rnacentral:rRNA from 1 species
GAGGAAGUAAAAGUCGUAACAAGGUUUCCGUAGGUGAACCUGCGGAAGGAUCAUUACAGUAUUCGAUUGCCUGCGCUUAAUUGCGCGGCGAUUAACCUUACACCAGUGUUUUUUUUAUUAGAACUAUUACUUUGGUCUGGCUAAGAAAUUAGGUGGGCCAAAGGUUUAAUUAAACUUCAAUUUUAUUGAAUUGUUAUUUUAUUUUAUGUCAAUUUGUUGAUUAAUUUCAAAACAAUCUUCAAAACUUUCAACAACGGAUCUCUUGGUUCUCGCAUCGAUGAAGAACGCAGCGAAAUGCGAUAAGUAAUAUGAAUUGCAGAUUUUCGUGAAUCAUCGAAUCUUUGAACGCACAUUGCACCCUCUGGUAUUCCAGAGGGUAUGCCUGUUUGAGCGUCAUUUCUCUCUCAAACCUUCGGGUUUGGUAUUGAGUGAUACUCUUAGUUAAACUGAGCGUUUGCUUGAAAUAUAUUGGCACGAGUGGUGCUGAGCAUGUCUCUGAAUAUCAAUGUAUUAGGUUUAUCCAACUCGUUGUUUUUCUUGGGCCGACUCUGUACUAGGCUCUGCCUUAUAAAUCCAAACAAGUUUGACCUCAAAUCAGGUAGGAUUACCCGCUGAACUUAAGCAUAUCAUA